AUUGAACGCUGGCGGCAGGCCUAACACAUGCAAGUCGAACGAGUGGCGGACUGGUGAGUAAUGUCUGGGAAACUGCCCGAUGGAGGGGGAUAACUACUGGAAAAGGUAGCUAAUACCGCAUACCAUCGGAUGUGCCCAGAUGGGAUUAGCUAGUCGGUGGGGUAACGGCUAACCGAGGCGACGAUCCCUAGCUGGUCUGAGAGGAUGACCGGCCACACUGGAACUGAGACACGGUCCAGACUCCUACGGGAGGCAGCAGUGGGGAAUAUUGCACAAUGGGCGCAAGCCUGACGGAGCCAUGCCGCGUGUAUGAAGAAGGCCUUCGGGUUGUAAAGUACUGUUAGCGAGGAAGCGUUACUCGCAGAAGAAGCACCGGCUAACUCCGUGCCAGCCGCCGCGGUAAUUC
rnacentral:rRNA from 1 species